CACACACAGAGAGUCUAAUACAGUGUAUUUUAUAUUAUAAUGUAUUGAAAUUUGCAUUUUUCUGUCUUUUAAUUCAUUGAAACUCUUACUAGAUUAUGGCUCAAUAACACACACAAAAAAAAUGUUGGGAAAGGAACCCACAAAAGCAGUUACAAAUUUAGCAGAAAUAAACUUCUUUCCCUCUUUGUGCGAUUAAAAAGAGAUUUGUACCACAAAUUAAUAAGGCAAGAAUAAACCAACACAAUCCAAAAAAAUAAAUCAACUAUAAGAGACACAAAUUUUUAUGUAGAAAAUCCAAAAUGAGAAAAACCACAGACUACAAUCUUCCAUUAUAUUAAUGAGAUUACAGAACAAAUUCUUUUUUAAAUAACAUUAGAGGCUAACAAUAUCAAGAAUCUCAAUCAUCUUGACUUACAGUAACAGCUUAAUAUCUAUCUCUUUAACAAGUGAGUAUCUCAAAAACAACCAACGAAAAGAUAAAAUAAAAACCUAGACCAAUAGGAUUAUAGAGGGCAAUACCAAGAACUUAUCCUUCAAAUUUGAGAGAAAAUGUAGUUAAAUUCACCUUUUGAUCGUCUAAUCAAAAAUUGAAAUUUCUAUUUCCAAAAAUAAAAAUUACCUCUGUCUCGUUCUUCUCUCUCCCCCCACUUUUUUGCUUUGGCCACAUUUUUUAGCCUCUCCACUUAUUCUUCUUUAUAUAGUAUACUUUUUAAAACCUAUUUUAAUGGAAACUUUCAUCCAAGUCCAAAAAUUAGUGAUAAUUACAUACCAAGUAAGUCUUUUUUGACUAAGUGCUUUAUGGCCCUAAAUGAGAUGGACCCAACAAAUCUCCCCCUUCAGAUCAUACGUGGGGGAGGGGGGACCACCCAGUCUACUCUCUGCAUAAAGCUUUCCAACUUCUCCUUAGGCCAUGACUUUGUCAUAAUAUCUUACCCAUUUUCCAUUGUGUGAGUCUUCUCAAGCUGCAAUUAUUUCUUCUCAAGCACGUCUCAUAUCCAAUAAUACCUACAUUAAUUAGUAUAUUGGGACCAUAGAAAAUUAAUUAUAAGAGACACAAAUUUUUAUGUAAAAAACUCAAAAUGGGAAAAACCAUAGACUACAAUCUUCCAUUAUAUUAAUGGGAUUAAAAGUAAAAUUAGAGGCUAACAGCAUCAAAAAUCUCAAUAAUCUUGGCUUAUAGUAAUAGCCUAAUAUCUGUCUCUUUAAUAAGUGAGUAUCUAAAAAAAGCCAAUGAGAAGAUAAAAUAAAAAUCUAGACCAAUAGGAUUAUAGAGAGUAAUGCCAGGAACUUAGCCUUUAAAUUUAAGAGAAAACAAAGUUAAAUUCACUUUUCGAUCAUCCAAUCAAAGAUUGAAUUUCCUAUUCCAAAAAACAAAAAUUACCUCUGUCUCGUUUUUCUCUUUUUCCCCCUACUUUUUUGCUUCGGCCACAUUUUUUAGCCUCUCCACUUAUUCUUCUUUAGAUAGUACACUUUUCAAAGCCUAUUUUAAUGGAAACUUUCGUCCAAGUCCAAAAUUAGUGAGAAUUGCACACCAAGCAAGUCUUUUUUGACUACGUGUUUUACGGGCUCAAAUGAGAUGGACCCACCAAAUCUUCCCCACCAGAUCAUACAGUAAGGACCACCAAGUCUGCUCUCUGCAUACAACUCUCCACCUUCUCCUUGGGCAAUGAUUUUAUCAUAAUAUCUAACACAUUUUCCAUUCUAAAUUACCAAAUACCAUGAGUUAAUGAUUUUAAUUUAAUCAUGCAUACCAAAGAUUCCUCAAUCUCAACCAACAAGUAAUAGAAACACAUAACUUGAUGCUCUCAUACCAUUCUGUUGAGAAAGGAACCGACAUAAACAGCUACAAAUUGAGCGGAAACAAACUUCUUUUCUUCUUUAUGUGAUUAAAUGGGAUGUAUACCACAAAUUUGCAAGGUACAAAUAAACCAACACAUUCCAAAGCAAUAUACCAAACACAAGAGAUACAUAUUUUUAUGUGAGAACUCAAAACGGAAAAAAAGUAUGAGAUUGUAAUCUUAUAUAAUCUUCUACUAUAUUAAUGAGAUUAUAGCACAAAUUCUUCUCGAGAUAACACUACAGGUUAAAAACAAUAUGAAUCUCAAUAAUCUUGGCCUACAGUAACAGCCUAAUAUCUCUCUUUAAUAAGUGGGCAUCUAAAAAAUAACUAAGGAGAGGAUAAAACAAAAAUCAAGACUAGUAGGAUUAUAGAGGGUAAUAUCAGGAACUUACCCUUCAAAUUUAGGAGAAAACGGAGUUAAAUUCGUCAUUCCAUCGUCCCAUAAAAAAUUGA
rnacentral:lncRNA from 1 species